CGGCUCACCAAGGCGACGAUACAUAGCCGACCUGAGAGGGUGAGUCGGCCACACGUGGGACUGAGACGACCGGCCCAGACUCCGUACGGGGAGGCAGCAGGUAAGGGAAUUCGUUCGGACAAGUGGGGGGAACCCUGACCGAGCAACGCCGCGUGAGUGAAGAAGGUUUUCGGAUCGUAAAGCUCUGUUGUAAGAGAAGAACGGGUGUGAGAGUGGAAAGUUCACACUGUGACGGUAUCUUACCAGAAAGGGACGGCUAACUAC
rnacentral:rRNA from 1 species